AUACGUAGGUGACAAGCGUUAUCCGGAUUUACUGGGCGUAAAGGGCGUGUAGGCGGUCUUGCAAGUCAGAAGUGAAAUUCCUGAGCUCAACUCGGGCGCUGCUUCUGAAACUGCAGGACUUGAGUGCUGGAGGGGAAAGUGGAAUUCCUGGUGGAGCGGUAAAAUGCGUAGAGAUCAGGAGGAACACCGGUGGCGAAGGCGACUUUCUGGCUGACAACUGACGCUGAGGCGCGAAAGCGUGGGGAGCGAACAGGAUUAGAUACCCUGGUAGUCCACGCUGUAAACGAUGAUUACUAGGUGUAGGGGGUAUCGACUCCCUCUGUGCCGCAGUUAACGCAGUAAGUAAUCCACCUGGGGAGUACGGUCGCAAGAUUAAAACUCAAAGGAAUUGACGGGG
rnacentral:rRNA from 1 species